rnacentral:lncRNA from 1 species
CGCCGCCAUUGGCAUCACCUCCGUCCAGACACCUCCCCCGUGUGUCUCCGGGGCAUAGUGAUGAUUUGUAUGCCCGUUUGACUGAAUUUAUAGCGGAGGAGGUCGGCGCGCUACGACGAUAUUUGACGGAGAGGGUCGAUGAUCUGGGACGAGAGUUGACAGGGAGGGUCGACGAUCUGGCAGGUAGGGUUGACUAUCUGACAAGGAGGGUCGACGAUAUGGG